UACGUAGGGGGCAAGCGUUGUCCGGAUUUAUUGGGCGUAAAGAGCGUGUAGGCGGCUAGAUAGGUCCGUUGUGAAAACUCGAGGCUCAACCUCGAGACGUCGAUGGAAACCAUCUGGCUAGAGUCCGGAAGAGGAGAGUGGAAUUCCUGGUGUAGCGGUGAAAUGCGUAGAUAUUGGGAGGGACACCAGUGGCGAAGGCGGCUCACUGGACCGGUACUGACGCUGAUGCGCGAAAGCGUGGGGAGCAAACAGG
rnacentral:rRNA from 1 species